GAACUUGGCUCAGGACGAACGCUGGCGGCGUGCUUAACACAUGCAAGUCGAGCGAUGAAGUUCCUUCGGGAACGGAUUAGCGGCGGACGGGUGAGUAACACGUGGGUAACCUGCCUCAUAGAGGGGAAUAGCCUUUCGAAAGGAAGAUUAAUACCGCAUAAGAUUGUAGUGCCGCAUGGCAUAGCAAUUAAAGGAGUAAUCCGCUAUGAGAUGGACCCGCGUCGCAUUAGCUAGUUGGUGAGGUAACGGCUCACCAAGGCGACGAUGCGUAGCCGACCUGAGAGGGUGAUCGGCCACAUUGGGACUGAGACACGGCCCAGACUCCUACGGGAGGCAGCAGUGGGGAAUAUUGCACAAUGGGGGAAACCCUGAUGCAGCAACGCCGCGUGAGUGAUGACGGUCUUCGGAUUGUAAAGCUCUGUCUUCAGGGACGAUAAUGACGGUACCUGAGAGGAG
rnacentral:rRNA from 1 species